rnacentral:sRNA from 1 species
CAGAUUCAAUAAAUGAGUCCUACUCCUACACCUACUCUUAUCACUUGUAAUCCAAAAAAGCUCCAUUUCUUUCUUAUACGCUAAUUCACUAUUAAAUAGAAAUGUAUAUGCAAAACAGCGAGAAAUUUGUAGAUACGUUGAAUGUUGUUGCUUUCACAUUUGCAACUCUUAGUAGUUGUUCAAAACAACAAUGUCGAGCAAAGAUGUUUGCGAUGUUUGAAUGAUUCUUGGAUUGUAUUUGGAUUCCAUCGGUACUAUGGCCUGUUGAUUCGGCACCUUUGUCAUUUUAGCAACUUUUGUUUUCUUUUCUGUGUCGAUGUAGUUCUCUAUACCAUAUUCAUGUUCAUAUCAAUGUCCAUAUCAAGGUCCAUAUCAAUGUCCAUAUCAAUUUCCCAUGUUCCAUUACAUAUCCCGUGUUCUUUCCUUCUUCCAGCUUUUACAUGCUAGCCUUUUAUACAAUGAUUCCUCUCAUCUCGACUCGCUUGAUGAAUGGGCGUUUAGUUUUUGCAACAACAUAUGCGUUGGGUUAUCUCAUAUCGGGAAACACUUUCUGCCACUUUUAACUUGAACAAAGUUGGAGAAAUAAAGUGAUGGCAGAUAUUGCAAGUUGUUUAUAGUGUGCCUGUAGAAAUGUAAAAACGCUAUGUUUCGUGAAUGCCCAGCCUGUAAAUCGAAAUAAGAUUUCGUAUUUAUUAAGCAUUGGGAAGAUCACAAUUGGAAAAAACACGAAUACGGGUGGUCUCNUUCACAGUCGUUCUCCAGUAAUCACNAACAUGAAACCUAAAUAUACGGGAACUUUGCACCUANUAGGACNACGCCUCAAGUGACUGCAUUAAAACAUA